rnacentral:rRNA from 1 species
AACGAACGCUGGCGGCAUGCCUAACACAUGCAAGUCGAACGAGACCUUCGGGUCUAGUGGCGCACGGGUGCGUAACGCGUGGGAACCUGCCCUUAGGUUCGGAAUAACUCCCCGAAAGGGGUGCUAAUACCGGAUAAUGUCUUCGGACCAAAGAUUUAUCGCCUUUGGAUGGGCCCGCGUUGGAUUAGCUAGUUGGUAGGGUAAAAGCCUACCAAGGCGACGAUCCAUAGCUGGUCUGAGAGGAUGAUCAGCCACACUGGGACUGAGACACGGCCCAGACUCCUACGGGAGGCAGCAGUUGGGAAUAUUGGACAAUGGGCGAAAGCCUGAUCCAGCAAUUCCGCGUGAGUGAUGAAGGCCUUAGGGUUGUAAAGCUCUUUUACCCGGGAUGAUAAUUACAGUACCGGGAGAAUAAGCUCCGGCUAACUCCGUG